GAGAACCUGGCAGCCUUCACUAACAGGACUGUCCUAGAGCUUGGCAGUGGCGCCGGCCUUACAGGCCUGUCCAUCUGCAAGAUGUGCCACCCCCGGACAUACAUCUUCAGCGACUGUCACAGCCGGGUCCUCGAGCAGCUCCGAGGGAAUGUCCUUCUCAAUGGCCUCUCAUUAGAGGCAGACAUCACUGCCAACUUAGAUAGCCCCAGGGUGACAGUGGCCCAGCUGGACUGGGAUGUAGCGACGGUCCAUCAGCUCUCUGCCUUCCAGCCAGAUGUUGUCAUUACAGCAGUAACCUGAAGCUUUCACCGUAGACGUGCUGUAUUGCCCAGAAGCCAUCGUGUCCCUGGUCGGGGUCCUGCGGAGGCUGGCUGCCUGCUGGGAGCACCAGCGGGCUCCUGAGGUCUACAUGGCCUUUACCGUCCGCAACCCAGAGACGUGCCAGGUGUUCACCACCGAGCUAG
rnacentral:lncRNA from 1 species